UACGUAGGGUCCGAGCGUUGUCCGGAAUUAUUGGGCGUAAAGAGCUCGUAGGCGGCUUGUCGCGUCGGUUGUGAAAGCCCGGGGCUUAACCCCGGGUCUGCAGUCGAUACGGGCAGGCUAGAGUUCGGUAGGGGAGAUCGGAAUUCCUGGUGUAGCGGUGAAAUGCGCAGAUAUCAGGAGGAACACCGGUGGCGAAGGCGGAUCUCUGGGCCGAUACUGACGCUGAGGAGCGAAAGCGUGGGGAGCGAACAGG
rnacentral:rRNA from 1 species